AGUGCUGAGCUCGGCAGGAGGACAGAGGGGAGCAGCUGGGAGCCUCACAGCCUCCUCGCGUUCCCACGCAGCGGGACAGCGCUGCUGCGUGCGACGGCCCUGAUUCCUCCCUCGUCCCCCUUUUCCUUUUUUUCCUCCCUCGUCCCCCAUUUCCUUUUGUCCUUCUCAUGCACUUCCUGCUAUCCCGCCUUAUCCCCGCCUUCCCUCAUCUCUUCUUGCACUCUUUGACCCCUUUUUCUCCCCCCAUCCUUAUUUCUCUUCACAUUCUCCUGUUCUUUUUUCCCCUUUCCUCUUCUUCGUCCCCAGCUCCGCUUCCCCCCACCUCACGUCCCCUUUCUUCUGUCCCUGUACCCCAUUUUUCCCUUUUUUUCCCCACCCCCCUUUUUUUGUUCUCUGCUGUCCCCUAUUCCCUUUUUCCUCUUUGCUCUCUCUCUCCUUUCUUCCCCCUCAUCCUGUUACAGAAGAGAGUGAAGGAAUGAUGGACAAGCUGGUGCAGGAUGGCAGCAGCAGGGUGGAAGCCCAGGUUCCGGACACGGCUUGCUCUUCUAAGCAGUGUGAGGACUGCGAGAAAGGCUUUGUUGGAUGCAGCAGGAAAGCACAGCCGCUGGUGGAUGCCAGUGUCCGCUCCUGAGGCUCUGCGCCAAGGUACGUGGAUCCCUGCCGUCUCCUGUUUCACACGCUCGCUCAGGUCCUUUGGGGCUUGGUGUCGCUUGUCCCUCGUGCUCCCGUUGCUGUCACCGGGUGUUGUUCCUUUCCCCAUGCUCAGCUCUGCCCAGUGCUGAUGGGAUGCCAGUGCCACCUGCUGCUCUUAAGAAAAGGUAGGUUUGAUUUCUUUUGGUUUCCAUAGCAUUUGCUACACUUUCCUUCUGUCUCUCUUCUUUUUUUUUUUUUUUUUCUUUUUGCUCUCAAUAAAUGGCAGGUUCAAUUCCUUUUGGCUCCUGUAGUGUUUGCUACACGUGUGUUCUGUUUCUCUUCUCU